ACAGAACACAAUCUUCAUCAUCACACAAGACACAACAACAACAAUGAACAACAUCAUCAUCCUCAUCUGGACUCUCACACUGUUUGCUCAAGAGUGUAGAGGACAGUACACUGUAACUCAGAGUCCAUCAUUAAUAACAGCAGCUCGAGGACAAGAAGUCAGAAUAAACUGUAAAAUCAGCAGUAGUGUGUGUGGUAGUAAUUACUUACACUGGUACUUACAGAAACCUGGAGAAGCUCCUAAACUCCUCAUAUAUGAUGCAACGAGCCGUUACACUGGAACUCCUUCUAGAUUCAGUGGCAGUGGAUCUAACAGUGAUUUCUCUCUGACCAUCAGUGGAGUCCAGACUGAAGAUACAGGAGAUUAUUACUGUCAGAGUUACCACUGUUCUGGUAGUGGUGUGUUCACACAGUGA